ACUGGCCGGGGUAGCGCCCGGCUGUGAUCCGAGCGGAAGUCGGUUCGGUGGCGGAGUGCCGUGUGGUGUCCCAUGUCGCCUGGGAGCCUCCCCUGUGCGCCUGCCCCUGCGAGACCGCAGUUCUCGAUGCCGCUCGGCGGAAGCCGGGCGACGUCGGGAAUGAUGAGGCGCGUACCGCCGGAGGCUGGAAACAGAGCACGGAAAAGCGCCCGCUGUGGUGCAGUGCAGGGAACACGGGCGCGCAGGUCACAGGUGGACAGAGUUCAGCAACCCUCUCACACCGAGCUUU
rnacentral:SRP_RNA from 1 species